rnacentral:rRNA from 1 species
AUACGGAGGGUGCAAGCGUUAUCCGGAAUCAUUGGGUUUAAAGGGUCCAUAGGCGGACUAUUAAGUCAGAGGUGAAAUCCCACAGCUCAACUGUGGAACUGCCUUUGAUACUGGUAGUCUUGAGUUAUAUGGAAGUAGAUAGAAUGUGUAGUGUAGCGGUGAAAUGCAUAGAUAUUACACAGAAUACCGAUUGCGAAGGCAGUCUACUACGUAUAUACUGACGCUAAGGGACGAAAGCGUGGGGAGCGAACAGGAUUAGAAACCCCGGUAGUCC